UCCACUGUGGUGGCGCACACCUUGUAGUCCCAGCUACUUGGGAGGCUGAGGCAGGAGGAUCACUUGAGUCCAGGAGUUCUGGGCUGUACUGCACUAUGCCAAUCGGGUGUCUGCACUAAGUUUGGCAUCAAUAUGGUGACCUCCUGGGAGCAGGGGCCCACUAGGUUGCCUAAGGAGGGGUGAACCAGCCCAGGUCAGAAACAGAGCAGGUUAAAACCUCCAUGCUGAUCAGUUUUCACUGUUUUGCUCUAUUGUUUCUUUGUUUUAAAAUUCAUUGGUUUCUGUUCUUAU
ensembl:misc_RNA Metazoa_SRP Metazoan signal recognition particle RNA